rnacentral:rRNA from 1 species
GUCUUUUUGAGAAUAAUUUAAAGUCAAAUYUGCCCACUGAUUUUAUUAAAGGGCUGCAGUAAAUUGACUGUACAAAGGUAGCAUAAUAAUUAGUCUUUUAAUUGAAGACUUGUAUGAAGGAUUCAAUGAGAUAUAAACUGUCUCUUUUUUAUAAUUUGAAUUUAAUUUUUUAGUAAAAAAGCUAAAAUUUGUUUAAAAGACGAGAAGACCCUAUAGAGUUUUAUAUUUAAUUUAAAUUAUAAUUUUUUAUUAAAGUUAAAUAAAAAUUAAAUUGAAUAUUUUAUUGGGGUGAUAGAAAAAUAAAAUUAACUUUUUUUUGUAUUAUAUAACCUAUGUAUUUAUAAUAGAUAUAUGUAUAUCUGUAUAGGUGAAUUAAAACAUUAAUUUAUGAAAAAAUGAUCCAUAAUUUAUGAUUAUAAGAAAAAAUUACCUUAGGGAUAACAGCGUAAUUUUUUUUUUUAGUUCAAAUAAAAAAAAAAGUUUGCGACCUCGAUGUUGGAUUAAGAUAAAAUUUAAAUGUAGAAGUUUAAAAUUUUUGAUCUGUUCGAUCAUUAAAAUCUUACA